rnacentral:rRNA from 1 species
UACGUAGGCAGCGAGCGUUGUUCGGAGUUACUGGGCGUAAAGGGUGUGUAGGCGGUUCUUUAAGUUUGGUGUGAAAUCUCCCGGCUCAACCGGGAGGGUGCGCCGAAUACUGAGGGACUAGAGUACGGGAGAGGAAAGUGGAAUUCCUGGUGUAGCGGUGAAAUGCGUAGAUAUCGGGAGGAACACCGGUGGCGAAGGCGGCUCUCUGGACCACUACUGACGCUGAGGCGCGAAAGCUAGGGGAGCAAACAGG